GUUGUGAACUCGAAGAGUAGGGCGGGACACGUGGUAUCCUGUCUGAAUAUGGGGGGACCAUCCUCCAAGGCUAAAUACUCCUGACUGACCGAUAGUGAACCAGUACCGUGAGGGAAAGGCGAAAAGAACCCCGGCGAGGGGAGUGAAAAAGAACCUGAAACCGUGUACGUACAAGCAGUGGGAGCCUCUUUAUGGGGUGACUGCGUACCUUUUGUAUAAUGGGUCAGCGACUUAUAUUCUGUAGCAAGGUUAACCGAAUAGGGGAGCCGAAGGGAAACCGAGUCUUAACUGGGCGUUAAGUUGCAGGGUAUAGACCCGAAACCCGGUGAUCUAGCCAUGGGCAGGUUGAAGGUUGGGUAACACUAACUGGAGGACCGAACCGACUAAUGUUGAAAAAUUAGCGGAUGACUUGUGGCUGGGGGUGAAAGGCCAAUCAAACCGGGAGAUAGCUGGUUCUCCCCGAAAGCU
rnacentral:rRNA from 1 species